rnacentral:rRNA from 1 species
CCUACGGGAGGCUGCAGUGGGGAAUAUUGGACAAUGGGCGAAAGCCUGAUCCAGCCAUGCCGCGUGUGUGAAGAAGGCCUUCGGGUUGUAAAGCACUUUCAGUGGGGAAGAAAGCCUUGGGGCUAAUACCCUCGAGGAAGGACAUCACCCACAGAAGAAGCACCGGCUAACUCCGUGCCAGCAGCCGCGGUAAUACGGAGGGUGCGAGCGUCAAUCGGAAUUACUGGGCGUAAAGCGCGCGUAGGCGGUCUGAUAAGCCGGUUGUGAAAGCCCCGGGCUCAACCUGGGAACGGCAUCCGGAACUGUCAGGCUAGAGUGCAGGAGAGGAAGGUAGAAUUCCCGGUGUAGCGGUGAAAUGCGUAGAGAUCGGGAGGAAUACCAGUGGCGAAGGCGGCCUUCUGGACUGACACUGACGCUGAGGUGCGAAAGCGUGGGUAGCAAACAGGAUUAGAUACCCUUGUAGUC